GCGGAAGUGGUGGAAUUGGUAGACACGCCACCUUGAGGGGGUGGUGGCUUAGGCCGUGAGAGUUCGAGUCUCUUCUUCCGCA
rnacentral:tRNA from 1 species